rnacentral:rRNA from 1 species
CCUACGGGAGGCAGCAGUGGGGAAUUUUGNACAAUGGGGGCAACCCUGAUCCAGCAAUGCCGCGUGUGUGAAGAAGGCCUUCGGGUUGUAAAGCACUUUUGUCCGGAAAGAAAUCCUUUGGGUUAAUACCUUGGGGGAAUGACGGUACCGGAAGAAUAAGCACCGGCUAACUACGUGC